rnacentral:tRNA from 1 species
UGGUUGUGUGGCCGAGCGGUCUAAGGCGCCUGAUUCAAGUGUAUGUAUCGUAAGAUGCAGGAGUUCGAAUCUCCUCGCAACC